UGCCCGUCAAUCACAUUUAUGUCAAAGGGCCAGAUUGCCGUGCUCCGCGGAGGAGGGCUCCCAGGAUCUCCAGCCUAACUCCUCAACGGGAAACCUCAGGCUCUCCCAAACCUUCUGUCUGAGCUGGGACUCCCAUAGCAAAGUACCUAGACUAGUGGCUCACAAAUAAUAGAAAUUUAUGUCUCACAUUUCUGGAGCCUGAAGGUCUGAGAUCAGGGUGCCAGCGUGGAUGGGUGCUGGUGAGACCCGCUUCCUGGUUGCAGAGGGCCGACUUCUCAGGGCUCCUCACUGGUGGAAGGAGCUGCGAAGCUCUGUGGGGUCCCUUUUAUAAGAGCACUGACCCUACCAUGAGGGGUCCACCCUCAUGACCUAACCACCUCCUAAUACCGUCACUUUAGAAUUUCAGUGGGGGAGAGGGACACAAGUAUUCAGUCCACUGCACCCUCUGCCCGGUCUCUGCGGGCACAGGUGGUGGCCGCUCCACCCGUCCAACUGCUCAGGCCAAAAGCCUUGGCUUACGCCUGCACCUUCUGCCACUCACACCGGAUCCAUUUGGCCCCACCUUCCAGAAUGUGCAGAAUCUCACCCCCACUGUGACCCCUGAGACCAAGCCACUCUCACCUUCUCCUGGGUUAGCGGGGCCCCCUCCUCGGCGUUCUCACUACUCCAGCCAGAGUGAUCCUGUUACAACAGAAAACAAGUUGUGCCCCCUGCGCCCCCCAAGGGCCCUCACCUCACUCCAGAUCCAGAGUCACUGCAGUGGCUCACAGGCCCUGCAGGGUUACUCCAGGCCACGCUCCUAGACUCUGAGAAGGACAUUGAAUAGGGAGGUUCUUUGUGUCCAAUCCUGAAGAAGGGAGGAAAAGGAACAGGAUGGGGUGGCAGUAGAAGCUGAGCUGCAGUAAGGCCCAGCAAAGGCCUGAGCUGAGCCCGCAGGAGCUCUGGAGCUUGGAGGACAUUUGAGAGGUGUCCAAAGCAGGGCGACAUUCUGUGCACCAUCAGCUACCAGCUCUGCUAGGCCCAAUGGGUCACGGUGUGAUGUGGCCCCUUCUCCGAGAGACCUAGGCCUUGGUCACCGUGAUUGUCUUGGGGCAAGAGUGCUGCGCUUGGCCAUUUACCAUAACACUGGGCAAGAGGGGGCCCAGUGUGGCACAUCCCUCCCUCUUGCGGACCAGAGUCAAGUGGCCCUGCCUGUGACCCAGGCAUGGGAAACAAAGGGGCAUCCAGAGAUCGUAGGUCAACGGCACCUUUUUGUGUCGCCUGAAGGAAGCUUUGGGAGACAGAACUUCUGAACCCACAAAGCCCAGAGCAGCAGGGCUGGAGAACGUGAAGGCACCAGUGGUCCAGGAAGUGAAGAGGCAGAGCUGCCCAGUCCUGCCCUGGGGUCCUGGGCCCAUGUACUCUACCCACAGCCACACAGCACCUCCUAACGGCCUUUGACCUGAGGGCUGACUGGAGCCAGGAGAGGUGCCCACCCUCUGCUUGGUGCAGGGGGGUGGUAAGGUGUGGGACGUGACUGGCAGACCUGAGCCUGUGUUCCCAUCCCUGAGGAUGACAUAUGACGUGGACUCCUGUGCAGGGUCGGUGCUCCGAGUUCCUGAGGGGUACACGCUGCCCCUCUGGGGACAAGGGUCCAAUGAAAGUAACUCGCUUGCAGCUCUGCCCCUCACCCCGGUGUUCAGGCCACUCCUGAGUGGGCUGGAGUCCAGGACCCAUCCUGUGGCCAGCCGUCUCCCUCACACUAAGCUGACCAAUGGAGAACCGGGCUGGGAAUUCUUCCUUACCCAUCAUCUGGUCCCAGAGGGAUCCCCCUGCAGCCCCAGGUGUGAGCAGAGAGACAGGCCUUGGGAAGCAGUGGUGGAUGACACAGGGUCAGGACAACCUGCUUGUUUGACCUGGAAUGUUGCACAUCCAGCCUUGAAUGCAUUGCUGCUGGACUAAACUGUCAACUGAAAGACAAACACACAAUGCAAGAACUGUGAGAUAAGUUUGCUUUCAGCCUGGAAACCUUGCAAAUACGCAGAGAUAAGACUGUAAAGUAAAAAUAACUGCUAAGGACUUGAGGAUUCGCAGGCGCCUCGUGACCCAGCCUGCGUGAGCAAGCAGAAGAACGAAGCAAUGCUACGCUUCCUUGAAGGCCAGGUGGCUCCGAGAAGUCUGCAAUCUGCCUUCACCCUCUAAUCUCAGAUCCUCCUGCUUCCCCUUUCCCCUUCGCACAAAAGAAGCCCGAAUUCUACCCCGAAUUAGGAUGGUUCUUUAGGAACCAUCUUCUUGGUGUGCUGGCCUCUGAUUAAAGUCACUGCUUCUUCCCC
ensembl:lncRNA uncharacterized LOC116757785